rnacentral:rRNA from 3 species
UACGUAGGGUGCGAGCGUUAAUCGGAAUUACUGGGCGUAAAGCGUGCGUAGGCGGUUUUUCAAGCUUGAUGUGAAAGCCCCGGGCUUAACCUGGGAAUGGCAUUGAGGACUGAGAGGCUAGAGUGCGGCAGAGGGAGGUGGAAUUCCACGUGUAGCAGUGAAAUGCGUAGAGAUGUGGAGGAACACCGAUGGCGAAGGCAGCCUCCUGGGCCGACACUGACGCUGAGGGCACGAAAGCGUGGGGAGCAAACAGG